UGGGGAAGCAGGGCCAUGGCCAAACAUAAAGGCAUUGAGUGUGUCUGACCAAAAAUACGAUGCAGCUAUCAGCAGUGACUCAUUCCUAUGCAUAUCGGCAAUAGACAGCCUGAUGCAUUGGUCCAGUUUUCUCUCACCCCAUCGGACUUCAUUUGAAUGGCUAACUCUCAAGAACCAAUCCUUCCAUCCCACGGUAGGACUGGGCCAGGAACGGAAGGUGUCCUUCCACAGAUCUAAAGAAAAAUUCUCGGCUCUAAAAGGGAUUAUGUUGGUUUCUGCGUUGAUAAGGUCGGUGGGAUCUGGAUUCCCUAACGGACCGAGGCAUUGGAGAUGUGGUUGAUCGGUAGGGAUGACGAUGUUAUUGGACAGAUCCUAAUGAUUUUGAAGGUAAAAGAAGAACAAAGAAAGAAAAAAAAAUGUUCAGUAAAAUAGAUUGCGGAUGAACAGGGAUGCGGGAAAACACACAAGGUGGAGUGAAGAACUAAGCUCAGGGACGAUGAAGUUGAUGGCCAUCUCUUCGCGAGGAGGAUGAUCGAAGGCUUCGGAGUUGGUGAAGAAGGGGCUUCGUUGAGACCUUGGAGUUCUCAAAUAGUGCCGCCGCCGGGAAAGUGAAGUUGGAGCUGUAGAAUGGUGUGAUGGGGAAGGAGUACCCGAGAAGGAACUAUUUAUAGGACAAAACGGGCAAGGGCAAAUCUGACUUAUCUCUUCGCUGUAUCCGUGAAAUCCGAUGGUAUUCAGGUAGAUAUGGUAAAUGUUCGCACGGUAAUCAAGGGAUUGCGCAGGUGAUUUGACAGGAAGUGGUCAUUAUCUAGAGAUAUUUCACUGUGCGGG
rnacentral:lncRNA from 1 species